UACGGAGGGGGCUAGCGUUGUCCGGAAUCAUUGGGCGUAAAGCGCGCGUAGGCGGCCCGGUAAGUCCGCUGUGAAAGUCAAAGGCUCAACCUUUGAAUGUCAGCGGAUACUGCCGGGCUAGAGUCCGGAAGAGGCGAGUGGAAUUCCUGGUGUAGCGGUGAAAUGCGCAGAUAUCAGGAAGAACACCCGUGGCGAAGGCGGCUCUCUGGUACGUGACUGACGCUGAGACGCGAAAGCGUGGGGAGCAAACAGG
rnacentral:rRNA from 1 species